UACGUAGGGGGCAAGCGUUGUCCGGAAUCAUUGGGCGUAAAGCGCGUGUAGGCGGCUUGGUAAGUCCGCUCUGAAAGCCCGGGGCUCAACCCCGGGAGGCGGGUGGAUACUGUCAAGCUCGAGUCCGGAAGAGGCGAGUGGAAUUCCUGGUGUAGCGGUGAAAUGCGUAGAUAUCAGGAGGAACACCGGCGGUGUAGACGGCUUGCUAGACCAUAACUGACGCUGAGGCACGAAAGCGUGGGUAGCAAACAGG
rnacentral:rRNA from 1 species